GGCGGCAAGAUAGCCAUUUAGAGGAACCUGCCCUGUGAACGAUGAGCCACGAAAACCCUACUUUUAUUUGUAUACAGUUUGUAUACCGCUGUUGUCAGUUAGUUUCUUUAGAAAACUCUCGUGCAUGAUAAAAUCAUUGACUUCAAGUAAAGGUGCAGCUAAUAUAAAAGAUAGAGGUGGGUUACAUUUAUAAGAGUAAAACGGAUAAAGUACAUGAAAAGUCUUUUGAAGGUGGAUUUAAUUGUAAAGUUUAAGAAAACUUGAUGGGAGCUCUGUCUUGUGUACACACCGCCCGUCG
rnacentral:rRNA from 1 species